GGUCUGGUGGUCUAGCGGUAUGAUUCUCGCUUAGGGUUCACCCUAUAGCAAUAAUGCGAGAGGUCCCGGGUUCAAUCCCCGGCCAGACCC
rnacentral:tRNA from 1 species